GACGAACGCUGGCGGCGUGCCUAAUACAUGCAAGUAGAACGCAGUUGCGAACGGGUGAGUAACGCGUAGGUAACUGCCUCAUAGCGGGGGAUAACUAUUGGAAACGAUAGCUAAUACCGCAUACUGUGAGAUGGACCUGCGUUGGAUUAGCUAGUUGGUGAGGUAAAGGCUCACCAAGGGGACGAUACAUAGCCGACCUGAGAGGGUGGAUGGCCACAAUGGGAAUGGAGCACGGGCCAAAACUCUUCGGGAGGCAAGAAGUAGGAAUCCUCCGAAAAGGGCCGAAGUCGUGCCGGGGAACGCCGGCGUAGUGGAGAAGGUUUUCCGAUCGUAAAGCUCUGUUGUUAGGGAAGCGGUAACUAACCAGAAAGGGACGGCUAACUACGUGCCAGCAGCCGCGGUAAUAC
rnacentral:rRNA from 1 species